GCCAGGCAUGGUGGCAUGUGCCUGUAGUCCCAGCUACAGGGAGGCUGAGGUGGGAGGAUUGCUUGACCCCGGGAGUUCGAGGCUGCAGUGAGCUGUGUUUGUGUCACUGCACUCCAGCCUGGGGGACAAAGCAAAACUUUGUCUCUU
ensembl:misc_RNA Metazoa_SRP Metazoan signal recognition particle RNA